rnacentral:rRNA from 1 species
AGAUAAGCCAUGCAUGUCUAAGUAUAAGCAACUAUACGGUGAAACUGCGAAUGGCUCAUUAAAUCAGUUAUCGUUUAUUUGAUAGUACCUUACUACAUGGAUAACCGUGGUAAUUCUAGAGCUAAUACAUGCUAAAAACCUCGACUUCGGAAGGGGUGUAUUUAUUAGAUAAAAAACCAAUGCCCUUCGGGGCUCCUUGGUGAAUCAUAAUAACUUAACGAAUCGCAUGGCCUUGCGCCGGCGAUGGUUCAUUCAAAUUUCUGCCCUAUCAACUUUCGAUGGUAGGAUAGUGGCCUACCAUGGUAUCAACGGGUAACGGGGAAUUAGGGUUCGACUCCGGAGAGGGAGCCUGAGAAACGGCUACCACAUCCAAGGAAGGCAGCAGGCGCGCAAAUUACCCAAUCCCGACACGGGGAGGUAGUGACAAUAAAUACUGAUACAGGGCUCUUUUGGGUCUUGUAAUUGGAAUGAGUACAAUUUAAAUCCCUUAACGAGGAACAAUUGGAGGGCAAGUCUGGUGCCAGCAGCCGCGGUAAUUCCAGCUCCAAUAGCGUAUAUUAAAGUUGUUGCAGUUAAAAAGCUCGUAGUUGAACCUUGGGCCUGGCUGGCCGGUCCGCCUCACCGCGUGUACUGGUCCGGCCGGGCCUUUCCUUCUGGGGAACCUCAUGCCCUUCACUGGGCGUGUUGGGGAACCAGGACUUUUACUUUGAAAAAAUUAGAGUGUUCAAAGCAGGCCUUUGCUCGAAUACAUUAGCAUGGAAUAAUAGAAUAGGACGUGUGGUUCUAUUUUGUUGGUUUCUAGGACCGCCGUAAUGAUUAAUAGGGAUAGUCGGGGGCAUCAGUAUUCAAUCGUCAGAGGUGAAAUUCUUGGAUUGAUUGAAGACUAACUACUGCGAAAGCAUUUGCCAAGGAUGUUUUCAUUAAUCAGUGAACGAAAGUUAGGGGAUCGAAGACGAUCAGAUACCGUCGUAGUCUUAACCAUAAACUAUGCCGACUAGGGAUCGGACGGUGUUAGUAUUUUGACCCGUUCGGCACCUUACGAGAAAUCAAAGUUUUUGGGUUCUGGGGGGAGUAUGGUCGCAAGCUGAACUAG